AACGUAGGGGGCAAGCGUUAUCCGGAUUUACUGGGUGUAAAGGGAGCGUAGGUGGUUCGGUAAGUCGGAUGUGAAAGCGCGGGGCUCAACCCCGGGACUGCAUUUGAAACUAUCGGACUUGAGUGCAGGAAAGGUAAGUGGAAUUCCUAGUGUAGCGGUGAAAUGCGUAGAUAUUAGGAGGAACACCAGUGGCGAAGGCGGCUUACUGGACUGUAACUGACACUGAGGCUCGAAAGCGUGGGGAGCAAACAGG
rnacentral:rRNA from 1 species